AUGGCUGCUGCAUGCAACAAAUCCUUUAAGAUGAAUAUUGGUUAGACUCCUUUCUACCACCUUUGUAGGUUUAGCUUUCGUGUUCAUUUGACACAGAAUGAAACAAGCUCAGAAAGACUGAAGUGCCUGGCCUCCAUGGAGCCAGCAGGAGGGCUGAGGUUUGAGUCCAGAAAGUGCAACAUCAGGAGAAAGCUCUGCAUAUUUACUGUUAAUUUUCUUCUGAAAACAGGAUGACCAUUCCAGGUCUGGAAUGGCAGGUACAAGGCAGCAUAAUGGAUGGGUGAAUACACAGGCAGUCUCCAUUGUGCCAUCAGCUUUUGGAGGAACCAGAGGAGAUUUCCAGAAGCCUUAGCCUGGGGAAGUGUUGACUGAGAAUCAGGUCGGCUGUAUCCUAGCUCUACUUUUCAACAGUAUUCCUUGUCAUGGAAUUGUACUUGUGCUUCUGACCCAGCCUCCCCACUAUGGCCACAUGAAAGGCAUGGCCAUUCCCCUUGAGCCCCACCAGGCAAAGCUCUGGUGCAGAGUGGGAGUCAAGGAAAAAGAGAGCUUCGAAGUAUUUCUUGUUAAAAUACAUCUCUUUGUGGAAGCCUUUGACAAAAAUCCAAGCACAAAGGAAUAAGGGGCGUGGAGAAGCCAAGUUUCUAUAAAAUGACCCAGGGCUUCCUCAUGGACCAGCAUCAGUUUAUGGAUCAGCAUUUAGAAACCACUGACCUUGGGAAUGUUAUCACAAUCCAUCUUGCUUUGCCUCCACAAACACGAAUAUGAGCUCCCUCCAACUCGGCCAGAAGAAUGACAACUUGAGAUUAAUAUACCAAUGCUGAAAAUAGUCCCCCUCUCUGCUGGACAAUAAGAGCAUUGGGAGCUGAAGAUCGGUUUAUUCGCCAAGUAUUUCUGGCACCCAGCAAAGUGCCCAGCACAUAUGGGUGUUUAAUAAAUAUUUGUUGAUGAAAGG